GGAGAGAUGCGAGAGCGGUUGAAUCGGGCGGUCUCGAAAACCGUUGAACCCGCAAGGGUUCCGAGGGUUCGAAUCCCUCUCUCUCCG
rnacentral:tRNA from 1 species